GACAGAGGGUGCAAACGUUGCUCGGAAUUACUGGGCGUAAAGCGCGUGUAGGCGGACCAGCAAGUCGGACGUGAAAUCCCUGAGCUCAACUCAGGAACUGCAUCCGAAACUGCUGGUCUGGAGUGGUGGAGAGGGAAGCAGAAUUCCUGGUGUAGAGGUGAAAUUCGUAGAUAUUAGCAGGAACACCGGUGGCGAAGGCGGCUAUCUGGACGACAACUGACGCUUAGGCGCGAAAGCGCGGGGAUCAAACAGG
rnacentral:rRNA from 1 species